CAUUUUGUUCAGUGGCAGUAUCAUAGCCAGUGAGGUUUAACCAAGGUACGAUUAUUGCUAAUUGAAACAUUUACUUAUCACUGUCAGGUUAGCAAACCGUUAUACAAAUAUUGAAGUUGAGAGAAGUUA
ensembl:snRNA U4 U4 spliceosomal RNA